AGUGAACGCUGGCGGUAGGCCUAACACAUGCAAGUCGAACGGCAGCACAGUAAGAGCUUGCUCUUACGGGUGGCGAGUGGCGGACGGGUGAGGAAUACAUCGGAAUCUACUUUUUCGUGGGGGAUAACGUAGGGAAACUUACGCUAAUACCGCAUACGACCUACGGGUGAAAGCAGUGGAUCUUCGGACCUUGCGCGAUUGAAUGAGCCGAUGUCGGAUUAGCUAGUUGGCGGGGUAAAGGCCCACCAAGGCGACGAUCCGUAGCUGGUCUGAGAGGAUGGUCAGCCACACUGGAACUGAGCCACGGUCCAGACUCCUACGGGAGGCAGCAGUGGGGAAUAUUGGACAAUGGGCGCAAGCCUGAUCCAGCCAUACCGCGUGUGUGAAGAAGGCCUUCGGGUUGUAAAGCCCUUUUGUUGGGAAAGAAAAGCAGCAGGUUAAUACCCCGCUGUUCUGACGGUACCUAAAGAAUAAGCACCGGCUAACUUCGUG
rnacentral:rRNA from 1 species